rnacentral:rRNA from 1 species
UACGUAGGGUCCGAGCGUUGUCCGGAAUUACUGGGCGUAAAGAGCUCGUAGGUGGUUUGUCGCGUUGUUCGUGAAAACUCACAGCUCAACUGUGGGCGUGCGGGCGAUACGGGCAGACUAGAGUACUGCAGGGAGACUGGAAUUCCUGGUGUAGCGGUGGAAUGCGCAGAUAUCAGGAGGAACACCGGUGGCGAAGGCGGGUCUCUGGGCAUUAACUGACGCUGAGGAGCGAAAGCGUGGGGAGCGAACAGG